rnacentral:rRNA from 1 species
AUUGAACGCUGGCGGCAGGCUUAACACAUGCAAGUCGAGCGAGCGGCGGACGGGUGAGUAAUGUCUGGGAAACUGCCUGAUGGAGGGGGAUAACUACUGGAAACGGUAGCUAAUACCGCAUACCAUCAGAUGUGCCCAGAUGGGAUUCGCUAGUAGGUGGGGUAAUGGCUCACCUAGGCGACGAUCCCUAGCUGGUCUGAGAGGAUGAUCAGCCACACUGGAACUGAGACACGGUCCAGACUCAUACGGGAGGGAGCAGUGGGGAAUCUUGCACAAUGGGCGCAAGACUGAUGCAGCCAUGCCGCGUGUGUGAAGAAGGCCUUCGGGGUGUAAAGCACUUUCAGCGUGGAGGCGUUACUCACAGAAGAAGCACCGGCUAACUCCGUGCCAGCCGCCGCGGUAAUUC